rnacentral:rRNA from 1 species
UACGGGGGGGGCAAGCGUUGUUCGGAAUUACUGGGCGUAAAGGGCUCGUAGGCGGCCAACUAAGUCAGACGUGAAAUCCCUCAGCUUAACUGGGGAACUGCGUCUGAUACUGGAUGGCUUGAGUUUGGGAGAGGGAUGCGGAAUUCCAGGUGUAGCGGUGAAAUGCGUAGAUAUCUGGAGGAACACCGGUGGCGAAGGCGGCAUCCUGGACCAAUACUGACACUGAGGAGCGAAAGCCAGGGGAGCAAACGGG